rnacentral:ncRNA from 2 species
GAGUGUUUUACGGGAGAGACUAUUUAAAUAUAGCGCUGAAGGAUCAACUGCUCAGGAAAAUCUCAAGCAAAAGGACCGUAAAAAUUAA